AGAGUUUGAUCAUGGCUCAGAACGAACGCUGGCGGCAGGCCUAACACAUGCAAGUCGAACGCCCCGCAAGGGGAGUGGCAGACGGGUGAGUAACGCGUGGGAACGUGCCUUUCGGUUCGGAAUAGGCCGGGGAAACCCGGGUUAAUACCGGAUACGUCCUUCGGGAGAAAGAUUUAUCGCCGAGAGAUCGGCCCGCGUCUGAUUAGCUUGUUGGCGGGGUAAUGGCCCACCAAGGCGACGAUCAGUAGCUGGUCUGAGAGGAUGAUCAGCCACACUGGGACUGAGACACGGCCCAGACUCCUACGGGAGGCAGCAGUAAGGAAUAUUGGUCAAUGGGCGGAAGCCUGAACCAGCCAUGCCGCGUGCAGGAAGACGGCCCUACGGGUUGUAAACUGCUUUUAUACCGGAAUAAACCCUGAUACGUGUAUCAGGCUGAAUGUACGGUAAGAAUAAGGAUCGGCUAACUCCGUGCCAGCAGCCGCGGUAA
rnacentral:rRNA from 1 species